CAGGUCUGAUCAGGAGCAUAGCCGGCAGGGUGCUGGUUGUCACCCGACCAAAACACAUCGUUGUCUGUCAGCAUCUGGUCUGCAGCAGAGUAGCGGGGCUGUAGGUUAGUGUCGAUCAUCUCGUCGGGAGUAGAGUAGGCGGUGUUGGCUUGAAGGUUAGCCGGCCAAAACAGGUAGUCAGCGGCGGACGUAUGUUCCAUACCUCCGGAGCUUGGUUCUUCGGAGCGCAUCAAAAUGUCAAGGACUUCUGCCACCUCAGAGGCCGAGAGAACAGGGAGACGACCGGACCAGCUAGCACCAGCUUCGGUAGGGUAAGUAGUUGAAGACAUCUCGAUAGGUUUUUAGGUUAAUGUAGACUGUG